rnacentral:rRNA from 1 species
CAUUACCGAGUUGAUUCGAGCUCCGGCUCGACUCUCCCACCCAAUGUGUACCUACCUCUGUUGCUUUGGCGGGCCGCGGUCCUCCGCACCGGCGCCCUUCGGGGGGGCUGGCCAGCGCCCGCCAGAGGACCAUAAAACUCCAGUCAGUGAACUUCGCAGUCUGAAAAACAAGUUAAUAAACUAAAACUUUCAACAACGGAUCUCUUGGUUCUGGCAUCGAUGAAGAACGCAGCGAAAUGCGAUAAGUAAUGUGAAUUGCAGAAUUCAGUGAAUCAUCGAAUCUUUGAACGCACAUUGCGCCCUUUGGUAUUCCUUAGGGCAUGCCUGUUCGAGCGUCAUUUACACCUUCAAGCACAGCUUGGUGUUGGGCGUCUGUCCCCCGGGACUCGCCUCAAAAGGAUUGGCAGCCACUUCAGCGGCUUAGAGCGCAGCAGAAUUGCGACCUCUGGCAGUGGAAGGCGGCAUCCAUAAGCUUACUUUUUAUUUUGACCUCGGAUCAGGUAGGGAUACCC